AUUGAACGCUGGCGGCAUGCCUUACACAUGCAAGUCGAACGGCAGCACGGGAGCAAUCCUGGUGGCGAGUGGCGAACGGGUGAGUAAUAUAUCGGAACGUGCCCAGUCGUGGGGGAUAACGUAGCGAAAGCUACGCUAAUACCGCAUACGAUCUAUGGAUGAAAGCGGGGGGAUCGCAAGACCUCGCGCGAUUGGAGCGGCCGAUAUCAGAUUAGGUAGUUGGUGAGGUAAAGGCUCGCCAAGCCGACGAUCUGUAGCUGGUCUGAGAGGACGACCAGCCACACUGGGACUGAGACACGGCCCAGACUCCUACGGGAGGCAGCAGUGGGGGAAUUUUUGGGACAAUGGGCGGCAAGCCUGAUCCAGCAAUGCCGCGUGCAGGAUGAAGGCCU
rnacentral:rRNA from 1 species